UACGUAGGGUGCAAGCGUUACCCGGAUUUAUUGGGCGUAAAGCGUGCGCAGGCGGUAGGAUAAGUCACUAUUGAAAUUUCAGGGCUCAACCCUGAACCUGGUGGUGAUACUAUCCAACUUAGAUUACUUGAGGGGGUACCGGAACAGUUAGUGGAGCAGUGAAAUGCGUUGAGAUUAACUGGAACACCAAAGGCGAAGGCAGGUACCUGGCAAGUCAAUGACGCUGUUGCACGAAAGCGUGGGGAGCAAAACGG
rnacentral:rRNA from 1 species